UACUCGAGUGGCGAACGGGUGAGUAACACGUGGGUGAUCUGCCCUGCACUUCGGGAUAAGCCUGGGAAACUGGGUCUAAUACCGGAUAGGACCACAUUUUGGAUGGUGUGGUGGAAAGUUUUUCGGUGUGGGAUGAGCUCGCGGCCUAUCAGCUUGCUGGUGGGGUAAUGGCCUACCAAGGCGUCGACGGGUAGCCGGCCUGAGAGGGUGUACGGCCACAUUGGGACUGAGAUACGGCCCAG
rnacentral:rRNA from 1 species